UCCAUCUUGGUUGAUGUACCGAGAGUUUAUUUCGGAUAUCUGGGUUUCAAGCCUCUAUCAGAGUCUCUACUUAUGAUGAUGUCCAAAUAGGUCAAGGAAGCAUCAUUCUCAAUGAUGUAUGGUGUAUCGUUAUUCUCAAUGAUAAAUUCAUAUUUUGAGUGGUACACUACAUACUCAGAUUGAUCUUCAGUGAGGAGGUAUGUGCCACGGUUGUCUCAUCAAUGUGCACAUC
rnacentral:lncRNA from 1 species